rnacentral:rRNA from 1 species
CAGUAGCCACGGUAAUACAGAGGGUGCGAGCGUUAAUCGGAUUUACUGGGCGUAAAGCGUGCGUAGGCGGCUUCUUAAGUCGGAUGUGAAAUCCCUGAGCUUAACUUAGGAAUUGCAUUCGAUACUGGGAAGCUAGAGUAUGGGAGAGGAUGGUAGAAUUCCAGGUGUAGCGGUGAAAUGCGUAGAGAUCUGGAGGAAUACCGAUGGCGAAGGCAGCCAUCUGGCCUAAUACUGACGCUGAGGUACGAAAGCAUGGGGAGCAAACAGGAUUAUAUACCCCGGUAGUCCCUGUCUCUUAUAC